UGUCCGUUUCCGCGACAGUCAGGUCUACAAUUCCCACAACACCCAAAAAUGCGGUACUGGAAUUUGGAUUUUGGGUGGCCAAGGGCCAUAAUUUUAGCGAUCUAAAUCUGUUUAAAUCGGCGUAGUUGUACUUCGGAAGUUAUCGAUUAAGUAUGAACGAAUGACACAAAAUGAAUUUAAAUGAAAGGUACUCACCAAAUGCUCUUCACAAUAAUGAUCCUUUUUCCAUGCUUCCUCAUCGCCACAAUCACAACAGCCACCGCCGCCUGAAGUUGACAUUUUAUAUUUGUGAUAACGAUGCGCCGAUUGUUUAAAACAAUUCACACACAACACGCAAGUGGGAUCCAUGCCACACUCGCGGCAACUAUAUGUGGGUUCGCCAUUCUUGAAUACUUUGCCACACACCGUGGCGGUAUUGCCCUCCUGUUGCAGUUUAUCGAGCACUAUUGUGGGAUUAUCACCCAACACGAACUCCAUCAGAACAUUUAUGAUGUGCUCCUUGGCGCCAGCCUCGUUGAAGUUGAUUUUUACUAAAUAUAUGUAUUUUUUUCCAAAGCAAUGAACAUACAGAAGAGCACAGUCGAAUAAAAAAAAA